UACGAAGGGUGCAAGCGUUACUCGGAAUUACUGGGCGUAAAGGGUGCGUAGGUGGUUGUUUAAGUCUGUUGUGAAAGCCCUGGGCUCAACCUGGGAAUGGCAAUGGAUACUGGACAGCUAGAGUGCGGUAGAGGGUAGUGGAAUUCCCGGUGUAGCAGUGAAAUGCGUAGAGAUCGGGAGGAACACCAGUGGCGAAGGCGGCUACCUGGACCAGCACUGACACUGAAGCACGAAAGCGUGGGGAGCAAACAGG
rnacentral:rRNA from 1 species